CCGCAUACGCUUUGAGAAAGAAAGUGGGGGCUCUUUGGACCCCGCGUUAUUCGAGCGGCCGAUGUACUGAUUAGCUAGUGGGUGGGGUAAAGGCCUACCAAGGCGACGAUCAGUAGCGGGUCUGAGAGGAUGAUCCGCCGCACUGGGACUGAGACACGGCCCAGACUCCUACGGGAGGCAGCAGUGGGGAAUUUUGGACAAUGGGCGCAAGCCUGAUCCAGCCAUGCCGGGUGUCUGAAGAAGGCCUUCGGGUUGUAAAGGGCUUUUGUUAGGGAAGGAAAGGAUAGUGUUAAUUCCCUUAUGCUGC
rnacentral:rRNA from 1 species